UACGUAGGGGGCAAGCGUUGUCCGGAAUCAUUGGGCGUAAAGAGCGUGUAGGCGGCUCGAUAAGUCUGAUGUGAAAGUCCAGGGCUCAACCCUGGAAGGCCGGUGGAAACUGUCGGGCUAGAGUCCGGAAGAGGCGAGUGGAAUUCCCGGUGUAGCGGUGAAAUGCGCAGAUAUCGGGAGGAACACCAAUGGCGAAGGCAGCUCGCUGGGACGGUACUGACGCUGAGACGCGAAAGCGUGGGGAGCAAACAGG
rnacentral:rRNA from 1 species